GUUUGAUCCUGGCUCAGGACGAACGCCGGCGGCGCGCUUAACACAUGCAAGUCGAGCGAGAACCAGUCCUUCGGGACUGGGGACGGCGGCGAACGGGUGAGUAACACGUGGGUAAUCUGCCCUCGAUUCUGGGAUAGCCCGGGGAAACCCGGAUUAAUACCGGAUAGCCUCUCGAGCUUACGAGCUCGUGAGAAAAGGUAGCUUCGGCCUCCGAUCGAGGAUGAGCCCGCGGCGGAUUAGCUUGUUGGUGGGGUAAUGGCCUACCAAGGCGACGAUCCGUAGCUGGUCUGAGAGGACGAUCAGCCACACUGGGACUGAGACACGGCCCAGACUCCUACGGGAGGCAGCAGUGGGGAAUCUUGCGCAAUGGGCGAAAGCCUGACGCAGCGACGCCGCGUGGGGGAAGAAGGCCUUCGGGUUGUAAACCUCUUUCAGCAGGGACGAAGCCACUCGGGUUAAUAGCCCAGAGGGUGACGGUACCUGCAGAAGAAGCCCCGGCUAACUACGUGCCAGCAGCCGCGGUAAUACGUAGGGGGCAAGCGUUGUCCGGAUUUAUUGGGCGUAAAGAGCGUGUAGGCGGCCGCACAGGUCCGUUGUGAAAACUGGAGGCUUAACCUUCAGACGUCGAUGGAAACCGUGCGGCUAGAGUCCGGAAGAGGAGAAUGGAAUUCCUGGUGUAGCGGUGAAAUGCGCAGAUAUCAGGAAGAACACCCGUGGCUAAGGCGGUUCUCUAGUACGGUACUGACGCUGAGACGCGAAAGCGUGGGGAGCGAACAGGAUUAGAUACCCUGGUAGUCCACGCCGUAAACGAUGGGUGCUA
rnacentral:rRNA from 1 species